AGUCGAGCGGUAGAGAGAAGCUUGCUUCUCUUGAGAGCGGCGGACGGGUGAGUAAUGCCUAGGAAUCUGCCUGGUAGUGGGGGAUAACGUUCGGAAACGGACGCUAAUACCGCAUACGUCCUACGGGAGAAAGCAGGGGACCUUCGGGCCUUGCGCUAUCAGAUGAGCCUAGGUCGGAUUAGCUAGUUGGUGAGGUAAUGGCUCACCAAGGCGACGAUCCGUAACUGGUCUGAGAGGAUGAUCAGUCACACUGGAACUGAGACACGGUCCAGACUCCUACGGGAGGCAGCAGUGGGGAAUAUUGGACAAUGGGCGAAAGCCUGAUCCAGCCAUGCCGCGUGUGUGAAGAAGGUCUUCGGAUUGUAAAGCACUUUAAGUUGGGAGGAAGGGCAGUUACCUAAUACGUGAUUGUUUUGACGUUACCGACAGAAUAAGCACCGGCUAACUCUGUGCCAGCAGCCGCGGUAAUACAGAGGGUGCAAGCGUUAAUCGGAAUUACUGGGCGUAAAGCGCGCGUAGGUGGUUUGUUAAGUUGGAUGUGAAAUCCCCGGGCUCAACCUGGGAACUGCAUUCAAAACUGACUGACUAGAGUAUGGUAGAGGGUGGUGGAAUUUCCUGUGUAGCGGUGAAAUGCGUAGAUAUAGGAAGGAACACCAGUGGCGAAGGCGACCACCUGGACUAAUACUGACACUGAGGUGCGAAAGCGUGGGGAGCAAACAGGAUUAGAUACCCUGGUAGUCCACGCCGUAAACGAUGUCAACUAGCCGUUGGAAGCCUUGAGCUUUUAGUGGCGCAGCUACGCAUUAAGUUGACCGCCUGGGGAGUACG
rnacentral:rRNA from 1 species